CAGUAGCCGCGGGAAUACGAAGGGUGCAAGCGUUAAUCGGAAUUACUGGGCGUAAAGCGUGCGUAGGCGGCUUUUUAAGUCGGAUGUGAAAUCCCUGAGAUUAACUUAGGAAUUGCAUUCGAUACUGGGAAGCUAGAGUAUGGGAGAGGAUGGUAGAAUUCCAGGUGUAGCGGUGAAAUGCGUAGAGAUCUGGAGGAAUACCGAUGGCGAAGGCAGCCAUCUGGCCUAACACUGACGCUGAGGUACGAAAGCAUGGGGAGCAAACAGGAUUAGAUACCCCUGUAGUCCCUGUCUCUUAUAU
rnacentral:rRNA from 1 species